rnacentral:rRNA from 1 species
GUGAAUCAUCGAAUCUUUGAACGCACAUUGCGCCGCCAGCACUCUGGCGGGCAUGCCUGUCCGAGCGUCAUUUCAACCCUCGCGCGUCCCUCCAGGGGGCUCGGCGCGGUGUUGGGGGGACACGGCCCCGGCCGCCCCCCGAAAUGCAGUGGCGACCCCGCCGCGGCCCCCUCCAGCGCAGUAAGCACGCUCGCUACGGGAGGCCCGGUGGACGCGUCCGCCGUAAAACGCCCAACUCUUCAGAAGUUGACCUCGGAUCAGGUAGGAAUACCCGCUGAACUUAAGCAUAUCAAUAAGGCGAGG